AGUGAACGCUGGCGGUAGGCCUAACACAUGCAAGUCGAACGGCAGCACAGUAAGAGCUUGCUCUUACGGGUGGCGAGUGGCGGACGGGUGAGGAAUACAUCGGAAUCUACUUUUUCGUGGGGGAUAACGUAGGGAAACUUACGCUAAUACCGCAUACGACCUACGGGUGAAAGCAGGGGAUCUUCGGACCUUGCGCGAUUGAAUGAGCCGAUGUCGGAUUAGCUAGUUGGCGGGGUAAAGGCCCACCAAGGCGACGAUCCGUAGCUGGUCUGAGAGGAUGAUCAGCCACCUGGGAACUGGGAACGGGUCCGGAUCCCUACGGAAGGCAGAGGUGGGAAAAUUGGGCCAAUGGGGGAAAGCCGGUUCAGGCCAUCCCGCUGGGUGAAAGAGGGCUUUCGGUUGUUAAAGCCUUUUGUUGGGAAAGAAAAGCAGCAGGUUAAUACCCCGCUGUUCUGACGGUACCCAAAGAAUAAGCACCGGCUAACUUCGUG
rnacentral:rRNA from 1 species